GUACGGGAGGCAGCAGUAGGGAAUAUUGGUCAAUGGGCGCAAGCCUGAACCAGCCAUCCCGCGUGCAGGAAGAAGGCGCUAUGCGUCGUAAACUGCUUUUUCAGGGGAAGAAUGUCCGGCACGUGUGCUGGAUUGACGGUACCUUGAGAAUAAGCAUCGGCUAACUCCGUGCCAGCAGCCGCGGUAAUACGGAGGAUGCGAGCGUUAUCCGGAUUUAUUGGGUUUAAAGGGUGCGUAGGCGGAUUGAUAAGUCAGUGGUGAAAUACUGCAGCUUAACUGUAGAAUUGCCGUUGAUACUGUCAGUCUUGAGUAUGGUUAAGGUAGGCGGAAUGUGUAAUGUAGCGGUGAAAUGCUUAGAUAUUACACAGAACACUAAUUGCGAAGGCAGCUUACUGAGCCAAAACUGACGCUGAGGCACGAAAGCGUGGGGAGCGAACAGGAUUAGAUACCCUGGUAGC
rnacentral:rRNA from 1 species